AUCUGGCAACAGCAAAUCACGAUGGACGUUUUUAUUGUUUCCGUGUUUCUGUGGCAACCACAUGACCACAUCUCGGCGUACCCGGUUUGUCGUCCGCCGGUCUGCCUUGGCAAUCUGUCCGUUUCCUUGUUGACCUCGGCGUGGUAGAAGUUGCUAGGGGCGUUCCUCAUUGUAUGUCGUUUUUUAAAAAUAUUAAUCGCUGACAGCCGUAAACGUAAGGCGCCGAUCCUCAUGACGCUAAAAGUUACUGUAGCGACAGACAAAGCAGAUCUGCUUUGCCGUCUCAAAGUUUUGAUUCAACAGGUUGCUGAUACUUUCGUUUCGUCAGGAAAUGAAUUCCUUAAAGUCGGUGUUUCCGGUGGGAGCAUGGUUGGCAUGCUCACGCAAGUACUUCCAGGUGUCAAGACGGAUUGGCAGAAAUGGCGGUUUUUCUUUUGCGACGAGAGGCUUGUUCCGCUUGAAAAUACUGAGAACACUUUCGGCAGCUACAACGCACAGCUUGUGCCGAAGCUGUGUUUGAAAAGGGAACAAUUUGUGAUCGUCAACACAUCGCUGCCACCCCCUGAGGCGGCCAAAGACUACUCCGAAAAGUUGAAAGUAUACUUUGAGAGUGUCCCCGAGUUUGACCUGCUGCUGUUGGGAAUGGGCCCGGAUGGGCAUACUUGUUCCUUGUUCCCUGGGCACAAGUUGCUUGAGGAGAAAACCAAAUGGGUGGCUGACAUCACAGAUUCUCCAAAGCCUCCUCCAUGCAGAGUGACUUUGACUUUUCCAGUCAUCAAUUCUGCAAAGCUGGUUGUAUUUCCAAUUGCUGGUGCAGAAAAGGCCGACACUGUAGUUGUGAGUUGCUUCCUUCUCUCAUUUGCUUGUAAACAUUUGGAUCAGAAAGAGUCAUUGGGUAUUGAAAUCUAAUUUCAUUUGUUGUUAUGGUGCAAAAAUGGCUGUUGCACUACUUCUGAAUUCUUCAUUCUUUAGUUGCCAAUCACAUGCCAUUUACCCAGUAGGAUGAGUGAUGUAAAUUCAGCCCACACAUGCUUUCUGUUGACCGAAUGUAUACCUUAAUGUAGUGGUAUUACUUCACAAGAUAUCGGUAUGUUGCAGGCAUUAUAAGAGUGAUCAUCAAUAGGUGAACAAGAGAUGUCUUUGGAACCCUUUUACGAUUGUACUUGUCUUUGUCAAAGUAAGCAGCUGCAUGUAGUACUACAAAAACUUAUUCUCUUAACCCCUAUAGAUGCGAAUUAUUUUGUGUAUUGAAAUAUAGUUGUAGCAUGUUUCUUGUACCUUUAGUGUCAUUGAAAACAAGCCAUAGCAGAACCAACUAUGAACUUGAAUUUUUAGGGGAGAUUUGUUGCAUCUGUACACCUCAACUAUAAAAAAAUAUUUCAACUGUAGAAAUGCCAUCAUAUAUUUCCCAUGCAGUGUAUGUUGAAAAUGCCGAACUGCUUGAGAAAUUUGCCUGGCGCGUUCUUAUCACGUGCAAGGAACAAAAGAGUACCUGCUACAUGGCUACACACUGGUGCAUUGGCCAAACACCAAAAAUGUGUUCCAACUCUCUUGUGCCAUGCAAUUUGUGCAUAUUUAUUAAUUUUCCUGCCUUAGAUGAAGUUUUCUAGUGUUUACGAAACACAUUUUAAAUGUAAUUAUUUUCAUUCAUAAUUCUGAUGUCGAGGUGUUAUUUUGGCAUGCACAGUUGUACAUAAGUCCCUGAAGAAGUCAAUUUGUCAAAACUUCUAUAAUUGGUGUGCCAGUGGUCAAAAAACAAAAGAGAAAGAUGAUGAGAAAACACUGACUUCUGCAAACCUCCUCCAUGCAGAGUGACUUUGACUUUUCCAGUCAUCAAUUCUGCAAAGCUGGUUGUAUUUCCAAUUGCUGGUGCAGAAAAGGCCGACACUGUAGUUAAAGUGCUUCACGCAAAGGAAGGAGAGCCGCGCCUUCCAGCGUCGCUGGUUCAGCCCACCAAAGGCGAUGUCGUCUGGCUUUUGGACAGCGCGGCCGCUAGCAAGCUGCCCAAAUGAUGCCUUUUCAUGACACUUUUGUCUUUAAUUAAGCAACGCGUUGUGUUUGUGCCUCAGAAUGGGGCAUAUUGGACUUCCAAUAAAAGUUUUACCUAUAA